rnacentral:tRNA from 1 species
GCAGAAGUGGUGGAAUAGGUAGACACGAGGGACUUAAAAUCCCUUGGUAGCAAUACUGUGAGGGUUCAAGUCCCUCCUUCUGCACCA